rnacentral:rRNA from 1 species
UACGUAGGGUGCAAGCGUUGUCCGGAAUUAUUGGGCGUAAAGAGCUUGUAGGCGGUUUUGUCGCGUCUGCUGUGAAAUUUCGGGGCUCAACCCCGAACUUGCAGUGGGUACGGGGCAGACUAGAGUGUGGUAGGGGGAGACUGGAAUUCCUGGUGUAGCGGUGAAAUGCGCAGAUAUCAGGAGGAACACCGAUGGCGAAGGCAGGUCUCUGGGCCACUACUGACGCUGAGAAGCGAAAGCAUGGGGAGCGAACAGG